AGUUUGAUCAUGGCUCAGAUUGAACGCUGGCGGCAUGCCUUACACAUGCAAGUCGAACGGCAGCACGGGAGCCUGCUCCUGGUGGCGAGUGGCGAACGGGUGAGUAAUACAUCGGAACGUACCCUGAAGUGGGGGAUAACGUAGCGAAAGUUACGCUAAUACCGCAUAUUCUGUGAGCAGGAAAGAGGGGGAUCGCAAGACCUCUUGCUUUAGGAGCGGCCGAUGUCGGAUUAGCUAGUUGGUGAGGUAAAGGCUCACCAAGGCGACGAUCCGUAGCGGGUCUGAGAGGAUGAUCCGCCACACUGGGACUGAGACACGGCCCAGACUCCUACGGGAGGCAGCAGUGGGGAAUUUUGGACAAUGGGCGCAAGCCUGAUCCAGCCAUGCCGCGUGAGUGAAGAAGGCCUUCGGGUUGUAAAGCUCUUUCGGUGGGGAAGAAAUUGCUUCGGUUAAUACCUGGAGUAGAUGACGGUACCCGCAUAAGAAGCACCGGCUAACUACGUG
rnacentral:rRNA from 1 species